CCAUCUCGGUUGCUGCCCUCUCUCUCGCUCUCUAUCCCCAAUCCUCACCGAAACCCCACUGCAACCUAUUGCUCUCUCUCUAAAGUCUCUGCAACUCUCACCUACACUGCAACCUUCUGCUCUCUCUCUUACUCUAAAAACAAACCACACAGCCUCCUCUCAUCCUCUCCCUGCCGCCUGCAACCUCCGGCGCUUCCAAGAUCUUCCUCUCUGUAAUUUCAGGCUUUC
rnacentral:lncRNA from 1 species